rnacentral:rRNA from 1 species
AGAGUUUGAUUCCUGGCUCAGGAUGAACGCUAGCGGCAGGCUUAAUACAUGCAAGUCGAACGGUAAGGUUUCUUCGGAGACACACGAGUGGCGCACGGGUGCGUAACGCGUAUGCAACUUACCUCUAACUGGGGAAUAGCCCCGAGAAAUCGGGAUUAAUACCCCAUAACAUUCUGUGGUUGCAUGGCCAUAGGAUUAAAGCUCCGGCGGUUAGAGAUAGGCAUGCGUGGCAUUAGCUAGUUGGUGAGGUAACGGCUCACCAAGGCAACGAUGCCUAGGGGUCCUGAGAGGGUUAACCCCCACACUGGUACUGAGACACGGACCAGACUCCUACGGGAGGCAGCAGUAAGGAAUAUUGGGCAAUGGACGCAAGUCUGACCCAGCCAUGCCGCGUGCAGGAUGACUGCCCUAUGGGUUGUAAACUGCUUUUGUACGGGAAAAAACUUCCGGUCGUGCACCGGACUGA